UUCUCACGUUGCUACAUCUCCACUUCAACACCAAAUGGUCUAGAUCCAAACCAGAUCCAUGGAGGAGGGGGGAGGCUGCACGGCGCGUGGAGAUUGAUAGAGCGACGACGAGCUCGGGCCAGUCGAAUAGUUGAGUGAGGAGACACAACGGUGGAGGCAGAGGCGGCUCAUGAGCUUGAAUCUGGUCUUCCUCUUCCCCAUCGAUCCUGCGUCCAUUGGAAAAGCUUGAGAGGAGAGCAACAUGCAACAGACAAUAAUCCUGUGGGUCUGGGGUUCAGCACUUCAAAACUGACGACCAUUGUGAGAAUACAUAGGAGGUGCUAACUAAGAUGAUUGAAGGUGACAAUCUAGAGGAGGUGCUGCAGGAAUUGGAGGAGAUGAAGAACUUCAUCAAGACAAUGCAUAGCACUUAUCAUGCUAUUAGGAUUUAAAAAGAAAAUUCAUAUAAGAGUUAGUUUGUAAUCAAUUUGUCUAUAUACUGAAAUGACAAUAUUACACAAUGUGUAAAAUGCCUCUGCUUCUUCCAA